UUUCUUAUUAGGAGGCUGUAUCUUAUUUUUUCCUGUACCAUGUCAUCUCUCCAGAUUCAGAUUUUGGCUCAGUGACAUCUGCCAAUAGUUGUAUUCUUAUUGCAGAGAAAUUUUCACUUCUGUUGUGCAAUCAUCUGAUGCAGGAGAUGAGGUAGACCAUGGAAGACAAAAGUCAGAGCUGCCUAUUUGAGGAUGGCUGCAAAUGGCAGAUGACUCCUUUUCCUAUCAUCCAGUGACCACAUCUACUGAUUCAGCCUCCCUGGUGAACAAGAUCCAACUUCUCUUUCAGUCAGAGCUGCUGAUGGCUAAGUGUUUUGCAGAUAUUGUCUCCUUUGAGCUUCUCAGCAACCCUGUGAAGCCAGUUCAAUACUGACCUGGUCUGAUGCUCAGGAAGGUCAAGUCUCUUGCCUGAGCAUCCCAACCGGCAAGUGCUAGGAUCUCUCCAGUUUGCCUGAGUCCAGAGUCUGAGAUCUUAGCUGCUGCAAUACCCCCUCACCAAACCCAGGUACCAAGUCUCCCCACUGCCUCGAUUAAAGGAACUACAGAUAAGAUGUCUGAUGGGAAGAGGUUGGCAGAGGGCUUCCAGGAGGCAUAAUUACCAGAGGCUCAAGGAGUGAUGCUGGCAUCCCCCUUGGAAAAAUCCAUCUGUAUCAGCCUCAGAAACGAACUCUUGUCUUGU